rnacentral:rRNA from 1 species
AGUGAACGCUGGCGGUAGGCCUAACACAUGCAAGUCGAACGGCAGCACAGUAAGAGCUUGCUCUUACGGGUGGCGAGUGGCGGACGGGUGAGGAAUACAUCGGAAUCUACUUUUUCGUGGGGGAUAACGUAGGGAAACUUACGCUAAUACCGCAUACGACCUACGGGUGAAAGCAGGGGAUCUUCGGACCUUGCGCGAUUGAAUGAGCCGAUGUCGGAUUAGCUAGUUGGCGGGGUAAAGGCCCACCAAGGCGGCGACGCAUAGCUGGUCUGAGGGGAAGAUCCCACAACGGGAAACGAGGACGGGUCCCAGACCCCGGGGGGAGACAGGGGGGGGAAAUUUGGGGGAGGGAGCGGAAGCCAAUACCGACCAACGCGCGAGGGAGUAAAGGGCCUUGGGGGUGUAAAGCCCUUUUUUUGGAAAAAAAAAACGGCAGGUUAAAACCCCGGUUUUUGACGGGACCCGAAAAAAAAGCCACGGCUAAAUUCGUG